rnacentral:rRNA from 1 species
UACGAAGGGGGCUAGCGUUGCUCGGAAUCACUGGGCGUAAAGGGUGCGUAGGCGGGUCUUUUAAGUCAGGGGUGAAAUCCUGGAGCUCAACUCCAGAACUGCCUUCGAUACUGGCGAUCUUGAGUCCGGAAGAGGUGAGUGGAAUUCCCGGUGUAGCGGUGAAAUGUGUAGAGAUCGGGAGGAACACCGGUGGCGAAGGCGGGUCUCUGGGCAAUUCCUGACGCUGAGGCGCGAAAGCGUGGGGAGCAAACGGG